rnacentral:piRNA from 1 species
CAGACUGUAACUGCCAGAGCAGCGC